UACAGAGGGGGCAAGCGUUGUUCGGAAUUACUGGGCGUAAAGAGCUCGUAGGUGGUUUGUCGCGUUGUUCGUGAAAACCGGGGGCUUAACCCUCGGCGUGCGGGCGGUACGGGCAGACUAGAGUGCGGUAGGGGAGAUUGGAAUUCCUGGUGUAGCGGUGGAAUGCGCAGAUAUCAGGAGGAACACCAACAGCGAAGGCAGAUCUCUGGGACGUUACUGACGCUGAGACGCGAAAGCGUGGGGAGCAAACAGG
rnacentral:rRNA from 1 species